GACGAACGCUGGCGGCGUGCUUAACACAUGCAAGUCGAACGAUGAAGCCUGUAACUUGUUGUGGGUGGAUUAGUGGCGAACGGGUGAGUAAUACGUGAGUAACCUGCCCUCCUUUUUGGGAUAAGCCUUGGAAACGGGGUCUAAUACCGGAUAUUCUGGCAUGCUCGCAUGGGUGUGUUGGGAAAGCUUUAUGUGAAGGGGGAUGGGCUCGCGGCCUAUCAGCUUGUUGGUGGGGUGAUGGCCUACCAAGGCGGUGACGGGUAGCCGGCCUGAGAGGGUGACCGGCCACAUUGGGACUGAGAUACGGCCCAGACUCCUACGGGAGGCAGCAGUGGGGGAUAUUGCACAAUGGGCGAAAGCCUGAUGCAGCGACGCCGCGUGGGGGAUGAAGGCUUUCGGGUUGUAAACCUCUUUCGCUAUCGAACAAGGCUCAUUUUUUGGUGGGUUGAGGGUAGGUGGAGAAGAAGCGCCGGCUAACUACGUGCCAGCAGCCGCGGUAAUACGUAGGGCGCGAGCGUUGUCCGGAAUUAUUGGGCGUAAAGGGCUUGUAGGCGGCUUGUUGCGCCUGCUGUGAAAACGCGGGGCUUAACUUCGCGCGUGCAGUGGGUACGGGCAGGCUUGAGUGUGGUAGGGGUGACUGGAAUUCCAGGUGUAGCGGUGGAAUGCGCAGAUAUCUGGAGGAACACCGAUGGCGAAGGCAGGUCACUGGGCCAUUACUGACGCUGAGGAGCGAAAGCAUGGGUAGCGAACAGG
rnacentral:rRNA from 1 species